rnacentral:lncRNA from 1 species
CUCUUUGUCCUGGGAAGAGUUUGCUGCAUCUUCCAGUUUCAGUAAUCAAAGAAGCAAAGUUCCCUGCAGUUCUUCAAGGAACCUUGAGAAUUCAGAAGGUCUUGGGGUGGCUGCAUCCGUCCUGAAGACAAAUGCCAAUCAGCAGAGGGGCCAUUCCCAGGGACACAGGGCUGGCUGACUUGGGCCUUGGCCAGGUAAGACACACAGCAUGCAUUCCUACAUGAUUUAAUUCUGAAUGCCAUAGACCUGGCAAGUCAUAAAAUAGCAACUAAUAAUUAUAUGUUAGAGUGCUCACUUCCUCACAGAAAUCUCAGCAUAUGUGAAGAUAGGUUGGAAUGUGUAAAGAAAAGCUAAGAAAGCAGAUUUCUGAUAAGAACAGCAUGUGACUUGUACAGCAGCUCUGAAUUACAGCCCGAAGGAUGGAAUGCUGACAGUUCCUUCUUCCUUAACUGUGAUUGCUGGAAUUCUAUUUAUCAGAUUGUUUUUGAGCCAAUCUCAAAAUGAGAAAAUUUUUGAGGAAUUAUGCAUAGUG